AUGAACGCUGGCGGCGUGCCUAAUACAUGCAAGUCGAACGAGUUCUGAUUAUUGAAAGGUGCUUGCAUCUUGAUUUAAUUUUGAACGAGUGGCGGACGGGUGAGUAACACGUGGGUAACCUGCCCUUAAGUGGGGGAUAACAUUUGGAAACAGAUGCUAAUACCGCAUAAAUCCAAGAACCGCAUGGUUCUUGGCUGAAAGAUGGCGUAAGCUAUCGCUUUUGGAUGGACCCGCGGCGUAUUAGCUAGUUGGUGAGGUAACGGCUCACCAAGGCAAUGAUACGUAGCCGAACUGAGAGGUUGAUCGGCCACAUUGGGACUGAGACACGGCCCAAACUCCUACGGGAGGCAGCAGUAGGGAAUCUUCCACAAUGGACGCAAGUCUGAUGGAGCAACGCCGCGUGAGUGAAGAAGGCUUUCGGGUCGUAAAACUCUGUUGUUGGAGAAGAAUGGUCGGCAGAGUAACUGUUGUCGGCGUGACGGUAUCCAACCAGAAAGCCACGGCUAACUACGUGCCAGCAGCCGCGGUAAUACGUAGGUGGCAAGCGUUAUCCGGAUUUAUUGGGCGUAAAGCGAGCGCAGGCGGUUUUUUAAGUCUGAUGUGAAAGCCCUCGGCUUAACCGAGGAAGUGCAUCGGAAACUGGGAAACUUGAGUGCAGAAGAGGACAGUGGAACUCCAUGUGUAGCGGUGAAAUGCGUAGAUAUAUGGAAGAACACCAGUGGCGAAGGCGGCUGUCUGGUCUGUAACUGACGCUGAGGCUCGAAAGCAUGGGUAGCGAACAGGAUUAGAUACCCUGGUAGUCCAUGCCGUAAACGAUGAAUGCUAGGUGUUGGAGGGUUUCCGCCCUUCAGUGCCGCAGCUAACGCAUUAAGCAUUCCGCCUGGGGAGUACGACCGCAAGGUUGAAACUCAAAGGAAUUGACGGGGGCCCGCACAAGCGGUGGAGCAUGUGGUUUAAUUCGAAGCAACGCGAAGAACCUUACCAGGUCUUGACAUCUUUUGAUCACCUGAGAGAUCAGGUUUCCCCUUCGGGGGCAAAAUGACAGGUGGUGCAUGGUUGUCGUCAGCUCGUGUCGUGAGAUGUUGGGUUAAGUCCCGCAACGAGCGCAACCCUUAUGACUAGUUGCCAGCAUUUAGUUGGGCACUCUAGUAAGACUGCCGGUGACAAACCGGAGGAAGGUGGGGAUGACGUCAAAUCAUCAUGCCCCUUAUGACCUGGGCUACACACGUGCUACAAUGGAUGGUACAACGAGUUGCGAGACCGCGAGGUCAAGCUAAUCUCUUAAAGCCAUUCUCAGUUCGGACUGUAGGCUGCAACUCGCCUACACGAAGUCGGAAUCGCUAGUAAUCGCGGAUCAGCACGCCGCGGUGAAUACGUUCCCGGGCCUUGUAUACACCGCCCGUCACACCAUGAGAGUUUGUAACACCCGAAGCCGGUGGCGUAACCCUUUUAGGGAGCGAGCCGUCUAAGGUGGGACAAAUGAUUAGGGUGA
rnacentral:rRNA from 1 species